CCGUGUGUCCCCAGCGGCCUCGCCGCGCCCCGGGCAGCCUGUGUCCCAGGCUGGCCCGGCGCCCCUCGCCCCGCAGGAUACUCUUCGCCCCGCGACCACCACUGCGCCCCCCACCCGCGCCCUUCCCCAGCGCUCGGGCAGCCCGCGCGUCCCGCUCCGCCCCCAGGCCCCCCGAGCGCCCAGGCCGCCUCCGCGCCCCUCCCCAGGCCCAGCACCUCCUCCGCGCCCCCAAGCUUCCGCCCGGCCUCCCCCGCCCCCCGGCCUUCCGCACCCCUGCGCCCCGCCCCGAUCCUCCCCCGCGCUCGGGCAGCUUCAGCGCCAAGUCCCCGCCGCGCCCAGGCCGCCUCCGCGCCGCCCGGCCCCUGCGCCCCCGCACCUGCGGCGCUCCGGCAGCCUCCGCCCGGGCCGGCGCCCCUGCCCUGCGCCCACCACGCGUCCCCGGCGCCCCAGCGCCUCGGCCCGGCCGGCUGGGCUGCGCUCCGGAACCCCGGCCCCGCCCCCGCUCUGCCGUCCCGGGCGCCGGUCCACGCGGCCCCCGCAGCCCCGCGCCAGGCCGGCGCCGCCUCGUGCCCCUGACGCCCCGGAAGGAGAGCCGGGAGGGGGCAGCGGCCGCCGGGCACCCUCGCCCCGCCCCGGUCCCCUGACCCCUCCCCGCCCGAUCCAGGAGUCUGCGGCGUCUCCGCUCGGACACCUCACCUUUCACCGGCCAGCCCCAAAGUAAACGUUUGCAGUGGCCUCCCGGGCCGGGCCCAAGGCCGGCGCGCUGCCCGGGCAGAGGCCACGCUGGAAACGUGAUCUUACUGAACGAACGCUCAGUGAGCGAAGGAAAGGGGCGUGCAAGUGUGCACGGUGCGUGCACGCAGGAGAGAGUAACCGAAAAUAAGCAACCUGAAAGAGGUCGAGGUGCUUCUGAUGCAGCCGGACAGUCUCAGGAAGGGUCCGUUCUGAGCCCCGAAGUCUCCUCAGCCCCCAGCAGCCCCCUGGCUUCCAGAGGAAAGGAACGGUUUCCCAGCCUCUGUGCUUGUCUGGCUGUUGUCUCCAGUGUUUGCCAAGUGUCCCCACUCAUCCGUGCCACAGGGUCAUUCCCUUUGGCCCCCUUCUGGCCUCUUUCUGCCCCAGGGGUGCAGUGCUCCUGUGUGACACUGGGGAUGGGGAAAAGGACCCACCAGAGCGUUCCGACGACAAGAGGUCCCCUUUGAAACGUCCCAGACAGCGUCUGUGUCCUUCAGUCCACAGUGCGGGGUGGUCCAAGGUCUCGUUUGCGUGGAGAAGUUAUCCCGUGGAAUAAAAUCCAUGCAGCAUACAGUAUCCCUUCUGCACAGAACAAAGAUCUGAAUGCUUUCAGAGGGCCGCCAGGGCAAAAUGGGAAACGUAAUUCUCUCAUGCGCCGGAAGACAGCAGCCUCUGAUGGGCUCAAAAGGCAAUUAUCACCUAGACCCAAAUCCUCACAAAGCUGCAGAAUCUCUCACUUUGCCCAUCUGGAGGGUAACUACUCACCCUGUGUUUUGAACCAAGAGACCAAGAGAUGGGAAAGGGGCCACUUCUGCAUGAGCUCGGCGUGUCGGGGUCACCUACACAAGAGGCAGAGAACAGAUCUCCGGACAACAACCGGACCUGGAUUCAUGGAUGGUCCCUCCAGGGAAUUCCUAACCAGAGGAGUUUGGACGACCCCCAAGAAGCGGCAAAAACCGUCCCCUGGGAAUAAAACAGGCAAAGUGCUCAAAAAGUCAUUUUAAGAGAUUAUAAUACUUUGAAAGUACCGAGACAGGCUGGGACCCGGGACCCUUUGCUGCAGGGCUUGUGCCUGGACGAAGAUCUCCUGGGGCAGCAACAUACAAAGAAAAAUGUACGGGACUAAAAAUAACUGCGCGCAUGCGCAGUUCGGGCAAAUGAUGAACAGUUAGAUACAAAGAGACCAAAAAGCCCACCUGCCACUUCUGAAGAGCCCGGAGCAAAAGCAGGGGGUCGGGAGCGAAAGCAGGGUCCUGGGCCCACCUAAGCCUCCCCUCCAGCCCGACCCCUGGACCUACCCGUACCCUCAGCCCAUUUAAGGAACAAGCUUCCCCCCCCCCCACCCAGGGAGCGAGCAAGCAAGGGAACUUGUUAUUUGUUCUCACUCCCCCACCUGCUGCAGCAGGGCCCCCAUAAAGCCUGGCCUCAAUUUCUUGUCUGGCUUCUGAUCAAUUUCUAUUGCUUAAGGAGGCCAAGAACCCGGAACCGUAACAGUACCACCUGCUUUGGGGGCCAAGGUGAAAGCUGCCAGGGUUGGAGAUGUGCUUUACGCCAAGGGUGUGUCCCCGAAAUGUUAAGAUUCAAGAAAUACAUUGUUAACACAGAAGGCGGCUCUCCAAAGAAAAGUUUGCCCCAUCAGAAUGGUGGAUUUCAGGAAACACAGGGGCUUUCGUCCGCCUGGUUUCAGCGUCAUCGUCAUCGUAAGAAACAGGAUCAGAAGACAGCUUUCUGCUCUUUCUACCAAAGCAGGCAGCUUUCCAGAACUAAUGUCCCCUCGUGAGUUUACAAGUGAAAAGAGGAAUCAUUUUCUCAGAAACGGUGCCUGAACCGUCGGUUUUUUAAGGCUGGUGAUUAGCUUCCGAUGACUUGCUUCUCACUAUCUGAGUGGGCUUAAUUGAAAAAGAAAAAAAAAAAAAAAAAUUCAAGGUCCCUGUGAAAAUGGAUUAACGUGUCCUGAAAAGGUUGAUGGGUUCAGAGCAAGAAUUCGAGGAGAGAAUUACACGGUUGGCUGCUAUUAGAAUUUGCAUUCUGAAAAGCUGGCAAAAACGAGCAGAACUCAUCUGUACCUGCCCGAGGCUCACGGUUUUACAGAUGGGGAUCCGAAAUCUGUCACCUGCCUCACGAGACAUUUCAACGUGACACUUGUCAAUGAAUGAAAAGAAAGAUCUGUGAGAUUUAAGAAUGACUAUCUCAGGUUAACACAGCCAGAAAAGUAACAGAGGGUUUGCAUGAACGUGUCCACCUUUGGGGGAGCGUAGAGCUGCUUUUAUAAGAAACCAGAGGGUGCAAAGAAAGAGUGAAUUCAAUAAACAAACAAAAUGUUAGAAAACAUUUGCUGAAGGUAGAAAUGAUUCUACUACAGAUGAUGGCUCCUUGCAUUUGAAAUGCGUGAGAUGUUGGAAACCUUCUCGAACAUGAAUCACGAGGAGUUUCAAAGAAACUGAUGAAUGAACUCAGAUAAAGGCGUCGUCCAAAUGUCUGCACGAAAAAGCCACCAAAUCUACACUAAAUUAUCUGAAAGAAGAUAAAAGAACAGAUGCACACGCAGAUCCUAUCAAACAGUCUCAGAAAUGAACAAGCUUCGCCGCCGUCAGAAGUAAACACCAUUUGAAAGUCAGAUUCUAUGAUGUCAGUAGAGACAUAUGGGCGUUAAGCGAGCUGCACUCCCCCAGAUACAUGUAUGUGUGUACAAAAUGAACUAUCACAGAAUAUUAAGUUUCUAGUGAAUGUGCCACGGAAAGAGAGAAGAAAAUCUUGCCAAAGCCACUGAAAUGAUCGUCUGUGCAUGUGGAGUGCUGGAUGCCUACAGAAUCCAAGCAAAAAACGCUUCCAGAAGAAAAUGUCAGAAAGAGCUCUUUUCUUCCCCAGCUUUAUGGAGAUAAUAAUUGACAUGUACCAUUGCGGAAGUUUAAGGGGUACAUUGUGAUAUAGACAAUAUAUAUACAACAAGGUGUACAUUGUGUAUACAUUGCAAUAGGAUUACCAUCCCAGCCUUAGUUAACACCUCCAUCCUGUCACAUAAUUACCAUUUCUUUUUGUGGUUAGAAUACUUAAAGGCUAUGCUCUUGAAAACUUUCACGUCUACUCUCUUAAA